UUGAGCCCUGCUGUAGGUUUAUAUGUCUCUGGCUUCUUCUCCUGGAUGAACCCCAUGCUAAUACUGCAGCAGUCACUUCAGCCCUAUGUUUUGUUGCUUCAGUUCAUGUUCCCUGGAUGGCUGUUGGACCAUGUUCACCACUUUUCCUUGCUUGGGCCUAUUGAUGGGCCCUACCUCUGCCUAUUGUGCUGUAGGGCUGUGCCCUUGUUCAGAUGCUGCCUGGGCUGUUAUGCCUGGUUUUGGGAUCACCCUCCCUUAGGAACAGCUUGUUCUCACUGCUUGCUGAUGUGGAUUACCAGUUGCAGUUGGUCUGGAGACAGCAAACAGAUCCAUGCUGCCGCCUUCUUCCUCACCGUGAAACGCUCUCAAACCUCCGAAAGGCUUGGCAAUGUCAGCACCGCAGGCUCCCCUGGCCGCUGCAUGGGGCAGCAGGAGGGGGUGUCUGGGCUCCGUGCUGGGAACAGCCAUGGAAAGUCGCAGCACCCAGCAUGCAAAAGCCAGACCCAUAUGCAUAACAGAUCCAUGUGUAAAGAGCAGCACCAGGCCCAGACCAACAUAAUGAUGCCAGACAACUUGCAGGUCUCCUCCAACAAGUGUGCCCCUGGCUGAAACACCCAGCCCUGUUCAUACAUGCAGCUAGGAGGACAUUUUCAUCUUCCCCUUGAAUUGGGAAUGACAAUACAGCCAGUGAGACCUUCUGCCUCUUCUGCUUGGCUGCUUUAUGCAGACCUGUGGCAUGCCCUGCAGCACUAUCUACAAAGACCUUCUGCAUUCCCAUGUUCCAGCUGCUCUCACUGCAACAGGCAGAUAAUGACAAGAUGCAAGGACAACAGGAGAGGAGUAAGAGGACUUUCAGGAAGCAAAACCUGCAAUUAUUAUAACUGAAAAAGUCAUCCCUCCACUCUCCUUGAGGCUUCACCAGUCCUUGUGGGUGAUCCCUGCAUUUGGCUCUGCUGGCUGUGUUUGAGGCCCACAACGUUUGAAAUGCUGCUUGCUCUUGCUGUCGGCAAGCUAGCAUCCAGUUUCUGCCACCCGAUAUUAAUGUCCACAAUGUUCCAGCGCCCACCAGCAUCACCAGUGACACCUCCAGCUCUCUGCUGCCACAGUGAACGUAUUUCUUUUCUGAGCAUCAAAGAAUCCUCAGAGAAUUUAGCUGGGCCCCUGAGGCCUGCUGGGAGACUGAUGAGUGCCCCUUUGGGUGGCUCAGAGGCCACUGUUAUUACACCAGCGAUGGCUGGGGCACAGGCAGCCACAGCAAGAACCCAGACCAUUACAGUUAUACAGGAGGCAGUGAUCUAUUGCCAAAUAAAUAAAAUCAUCAAAUGAGUUAGAUAAGAGAUGAGCAGCUUCAUGAUCGGGCUUUUGGUUGUAAGACUAGGGGUAUUCCUGUAGCUUGUUUAGUUGUUCUUUAGUUCCUGUCUUGCUUGCCCUCAGUUUCUCUUUUUGUUUAGUUCUUCCAAGCUACAACACUAUUAACACCCUGCACACUAUAUAUAAAUGUCCUUGCCAUGGAAGAAUCCAAAUAAAACCGGUUUCUCUUAAUAUUUAAACUUAUUUCCUGAGGAAUU